AUAACUGCAAGUUUCUGCUACUGAAUCGGCGAAAAGUAAAAUACCAAGCAUCCGUCCAACUUACUCUAGGGAAUUUCAGUAUUUACAAACCAUGUCACAGAGAAACUAAUUUUAAAAUUUACUAGUCCAUAAAUACCACCUUACGUGCAUGAUUAUAGAUGUCAACAGCAUUUUCUUUUCCUUUUAGGAAGCCUGCCUCCUGUUUUCCUCAGCGGUUGCUGCUGCUCAUUGUGAUUCUGAUCAUGGGAGUGUGAUGAUGUGGUUGCAUCUGCUACUAAAUUUGACUCUGGCACUGGACACCUUCCAUUGCCUGGACCCUCCAGUUGCUGCUGUUGCUCAUUGC
rnacentral:misc_RNA from 1 species